CAUAUUGGACACUGGGGGCAACCCUGACCCAGCCAUGCCGCGUGUGUGAAGAAGGUCUUCGGCUUGUAAAGCACUUUAAGUUGGGAGGAAGGGCUUUAGGUUAAUACCCUGAAGUUUUGACGUUACCAACAGAAUAAGUACCGGCUAACUCUGUGCCAGCAGCCGCGGUAAUACAGAGGGUGCAAGCGUUAAUCGGAAUUACUGGGCGUAAAGCGCGCGUAGGUGGUUCAGUAAGAUGGGUGUGAAAGCCCCGGGCUUAACCUGGGAACUGCUUUCAUAACUGGUGAGCUAGAGUACGGUAGAGAGUAGUGGAAUUUCCGGUGUGGCGGUGAAAUGCGUAGAUAUAGGAAGGAACACCAGUGGCGAAGGCGACUACCUGGACUGAUACUAACACUGAGGUGCGAAAGCGUGGGGAGCAAA
rnacentral:rRNA from 1 species